rnacentral:rRNA from 1 species
GGUGCCCUCAGUACGCUUGGCAACCGUGCGUAGAGUGCAAUGGCAUAAGGGCGCUUGACUGUGAGACAUACAGGUCGAACAGGUACGAAAGUAGAGCAUAGUGAUCCGGUGGUUCCGCAUGGAAGGGCCAUCGCUCAAAGGAUAAAAGGUACUCCGGGGAUAACAGGCUGAUCUCCCCCAAGAGCUCAUAUCGACGGGGAGGUUUGGCACCUCGAUGUCGGCUCGUCACAUCCUGGGGCUGGAGAAGGUCCCAAGGGUUGGGCUGUUCGCCCAUUAAAGUGGCACGCGAGCUGGGUUCAGAACGUCGCAAGACAGUUCGGUCUCUAUCUGUUGUGGGCGUAGGAAUAUUGAAGAGAUCUGUCUCCAGUACGAGAGGACCGGGAUGGACGCACCUCUAGUGUACCUGUUGUGGCGCCAGCUGCAUUGCAGGGUAGCUAUGUGCGGAAUGGAUAAGCGCUGAAAGCAUCUAAGCACGAAGCCAACUCUAAGAUGAGUAUUCCAUGAGGGUCGUAGAAGAUGACUACGUUGAUAGGCUAUAGGUGGAAGUGCAGUAAUGUAUGGAGCCGAGUAGUACUAAUUACCCGA